rnacentral:rRNA from 1 species
UACGAAGGGGGCUAGCGUUGCUCGGAAUCACUGGGCGUAAAGGGUGCGUAGGCGGGUCUUUAAGUCCGGGGUGAAAUCCUGGAGCUCAACUCCAGAACUGCCUUUGAUACUGAGGAUCUUGAGUUCGGGAGAGGUGAGUGGAACUGCGAGUGUAGAGGUGAAAUUCGUAGAUAUUCGCAAGAACACCAGUGGCGAAGGCGGCUCACUGGCCCGAUACUGACGCUGAGGCACGAAAGCGUGGGGAGCAAACAGGG